rnacentral:rRNA from 1 species
CCUACGGGUGGCUGCAGUGGGGAAUAUUGCACAAUGGGCGAAAGCCUGAUGCAGCAACGCCGCGUGAAGGAAGACGGUUUUCGGAUUGUAAACUUCUAUCAAUAGGGAAGAAAGAAAUGACGGUACCUAAAUAAGAAGCCCCGGCUAACUACGUGCCAGCAGCCGCGGUAAUACGUAGGGGGCAAGCGUUAUCCGGAAUUACUGGGUGUAAAGGGAGAGUAGGCGGCAAGGUAAGCGAUAUGUGAAAGCCUUAGGCUUAACCAAAGGAUUGCAUAACGAACUAUCUAGCUAGAGUACAGGAGAGGAAAGCGGAAUUCCUAGUGUAGCGGUGAAAUGCAUAGAUAUUAGGAAGAACACCAGUGGCGAAGGCAGCUUACUAAGCCAUAACUGACACUGAAGCACGAAAGCGUGGGGAUCAAACAGGAUUAGAUACCCUUGUAGUC